rnacentral:lncRNA from 1 species
GACACAUUUGCUCUUCUGACCGGAGGGGAGGGACUUAUGUCACCUGGAUAGCUGGGGAGAUUUCAGGGGAAUGAGGUCUCCAGCUGAUGGUUGGUGCUGGUAAGUUCCCAAUUCUUGCCUUGACCAUGGUGGCCAGCUCACUUAGGGUCUCUUGAUGGCACAGGUACUCACUCUAACUAAACACCCCUGUCUCACAGCAGGCUAGUGCCUGGCUAUUCAGCAGGGUAUCCGUGAGGGUCGUCCAUACAACUUUGAAAGGAGUAAUAGUGUUUCACAGAUCUAGCAAGGAGGAGCAGAAAUUAUUGCCCAUUAAGGAACGGUGGUGCCAGCCUUCAGCAUGAAAUGGGAUCUCAGAGGCAAGGAUGGCAUCCAAAAGUUUCAUCCUGUACAAAUAGUUGUAGCAACUUUGAUUUACCUGGGUUUCCAGUUGUAGCAGACUUGCGUCUGCAAGUUGCUGGGAUUCAUACUUGAUGUUCUGAACACUGAAGAGUUGAGUGUCAUUCUCCUCUUUUAAGUCUUUGGGAACAUUGUGUCCCACAGGGACAUGGGGUCCCGUGUAGGUUCAUUUGCAAGUGCAUGAUUGCUUCUUCACAAAAAUAAAUAGCAGUACAAAUAUCAGGCUCCUGUAGGCCAUCACAUGCACCCAGGCACAACAUUCACCCAGGACUGCCUCCCCACACAGAACUGCAUGGUUUUCCCACUGCUCUGCCUUGUUAGCCAAGGCUGCAGGGAAGAAGCAACCAUGCCUGGAUUCCCUGGAGUUUGCCGGCCAUUUGCUUAUGGGGGGAGAUCAAGCCAGACCUUGUCUGAAAACAUAGUGCCUGGGGGACUAGGAAAGGAGGAUGACACCUUCCUGUAACCCCUCCCAGCACUUGGAUCAGACAGGCAAUCUCAACUUUUUUUUUCAGCUUAAUUUCUUUUAAGACAAAUAUCAGUACUCACUUUGGUUACAUUUAGAAAUGAGUUUAAUUUUUUUUUUUUUUUAGAAUUUCUUACUGGAAUUUUCAUAGAAAACUUCAUCUGC